CCAGAGUCGGAAGCAUUUUGUCGUUGACGAAUCAUCCACUUUCAGGUCCUAACUCAACUAUUUACUUUAAACCCAUUUUUAUAUAAACUUCUCUUCUCGCCAAAUUGUUGCAUUUCAGAAUUUUAUACCAAAACCCCAAAAAUUAAUAAUCAACAAUCUGCUAUCGGGGACAUUUUUUUUUUUUUUACAGGUGAAAGAUGGGAGCAUGUGCAUCGAAACCUAAUGGGUGUGUAGGAAUUAGGGGUCGGAGGCUUGUUCGUCGGAAGAGACACAGAGUUAGUAGAAAGAGAAAUGUAUCGAAGACUCAUUCGGCUUCUCAAAAUCUCAGUAAGAUUGAACCAUCUUCUUCAGCUGAUCAUUCUUACUCUAAUCCUGCUUUUCAAGGUAUUAUUACAAAUCAUCAGUUUUAAUUCAAGACAUUUUCAAAUGAAUUUAGGAUUUGAGGUCUCAAAUUAGUUUACAAUGAUAACUGGGUUCACAAUCAAAUAGUUAUAAAAUUUAAAUGAAAUUUUAAUACAAUCAAUUUGGUUGAGUUUCCAAUCUGUUGUGACGAAUAGUCAACACCCUAAUGUAAUUGUUUCUAUUUAUAUAGAGCAUAACUCGAUUUUGUGCCCUAAACAGGAAAUGCAGAGUCUUGGUUCGACCCGGAGAUGGUGGUUGAAUCUGACUGUGAGGAUGAUUUUCAUAGUGUACAAGAUGUUUUUUCUCAAAAUGGAUCUUUUUCAACUGGGGUUUCUCCAAGGUUUUCUGAUUUUGUGUAUCACAAUGGCAAUGCUGCUUCUGACCUCUCCGAGAAACAUGAACAGCCAAAUGGAAGUGAAGAAUCAAGUGUUGUUAAAGAGGGUGUUGUAAAGAGAUAUUUUUCAGCAGAUUCUCAACUUAAGUCCAAUUCUCAAACUGAGAUGGAUGACCCAAGUCUUAAUGAUAAAACACCCCGAAGCAUGGAUGGUGGUGCUAGGGUUGAAACAGGAAUUUUCCACAAUUGUGGAAGACAAAAUCCGUGUCUGCCUUGUCUUGCUUGUGUUGCCUCUUCGGAUGAAAAGAAAAAGUCUCUAAACCCGAUCUCACCACGCAGCCGGAAAAAAUCAUCCCUAACCCAGAUGUUAUCUUUUAAAUGGAGAGAAACAAAUUCAAGUUCUGCAUUAUGUAAGCUCUUUUACCUUGUAUAUACUGUUAAUGGCAGCCAGUGUGUGAAAUUGACUACUUUCCUUGCCUAAACCACGUUUGAAAUGUUUAUAGGAUUUUGAGAUUAAAAUGUUGGACUGAGAUGAGUGUAAAUAGAACAACAUGGUUAGGGUUCGUAUAGCCGAGGCCAAAAUGUUAGGGACUGUGGCAUAGUUGUAGCAGCAGCAGUAGUUGUUGUAAUCAACCUUGAACUUAUGGAAUCGUAUAUUAAGAGAAUAAACCAUUAUAUUAGGUAAUUUGCAUUAAGUAGAAUAGAAAGAAUGUACUAUGCUGAUACUUCAUCUUGAGUUGAUAGUCAUAUUUGUGACCCACACAUAAAAGCUGUAACUUGUCUAAGCGUACAUUGAAUCAUAGACAACAAUUGAAGGUGUUGAUUGUAUCUACAUAGUGCUACAAGCUACAACUGGAUUCACUUUAAUUGUUUUAUGUUACUGACUUGUCUGCUUUUCAUACUCCAGUGUCACCAAAGACUGUUCUGCAAAGACCAAUAGCUGGUUCUCAAAUUCCUUGUAGCCCGUUGGGACGGAAAAUGGCUAACUGCUGGUCAUCCGUUGAGCCAAAUACUUUCAAGAUCCGUGGUAAAAAUUUCUUCAGGUAAGAGAAUACUACUGAUGAGGGUCUCCAUCUGUGAGAUAAUUUUUUUUUUUCUAAACAAGAUUUGUGGCAUAUGACUAUAAAUCUAUAAUAGGCAUUUCUCCGACUCUGCCAUUUCUUUUUCAAGUAUAUUCCAAGUUUGUUUUGCUCAAUUGAAUAUUAAGUUCAAUCCCUCUUAAUUCUUUGACAGGGAUAAGAAGAAAGACUUUGCUUUAAAUUGUGCUGCAUUUUAUCCUUUUGGUGCUGAUUUAUUCUUAUCACCACGGAAAAUUGAUCAUAUUGCACGUUUUGUGGAACUUCCAGCCAUCGAUUCAUCCAGUGAAGUUCCAUCCAUUCUUGUUGUAAAUCUUCAGGUAUUUGGAUGCCACUAAUUUUUCUUCACAUUGUUAUAUCAGUGUAUACUUCAAAACACUGUUGAAGUAUAUUGUCUCAUAUUUGAUGCACAAUUACAUCUUCCUCAGAUAUUAGAUUUGUUUUUUAUUGCUCAGAUUUGGCAUUUAAAACCUGCCCCAGAGAAGAUGCUGGCAGUAUUUAUUUAUUUUUUGGAGAAUUCAUACUACUAAUGAUUUGCAUUCCCCAAACAAUGAUUGACUGCUUUUACAUCUCAGAUACCAUUGUACCCUCCUGCAAUCUUCCAAAAUGAAUAUGAUGGAGAAGGGAUGAAUUUUGUUCUCUACUUCAAACUUUCAGAAAAUUACUCCACGGAAAUGCCAGUCCAAUUUCAAGAAAAUCUCCAGGUAUGAUGGUGAAUUUUCUUUACACAUUUUGUGAUUUCUUAACAAGUAGCACUUAGCAAGAUUACCUCUUCCUGUAACGAGAUAGGAGUAUAUUUGAUUUUACUGUGUACAUACAUAAUUUUCUAUUUCUAUAUGAAUUGCUGAUUCGUUAUUCUUUUUCUUGCUAUCUGUGGGACAGAGGUUAAUACAUGAUGAAAUAGAGAAGAUCAAAGGCUUUCCCAGGGAUACAAAUGCACCCUUCAGGGAAAGAUUGAAAUUCUUGGGCCGAGUUGUAAACACAGAGGAUCUUCAAUUAAGUGCGGCUGAGAAGAAACUCUUGAAUGCAUACAAUGAAAAGCCUGUGCUCUCACGUCCUCAACAUGAAUUCUAUUUGGUAAGUUAAUUUAGAAACUCUGUAUUACAGUUUUUUCUUAUGACUUGGUUAUAUCUAGCCUCUGGAAAUAGCGAACUCUGAUCCACCUUCAGUGAGACCAGCGGUGGAACCAGAAUUUGAAGCUUAUUCUGAAUUCUUCAGUCUUUAAGUUAUUGGGUUCUAAAUUGAUAAUUUGGAAAUAUUCAAUGGAUUUUUAAUACUAAUAUAAAGUUCGAACCAAAGUUACUGGGUUUGGCCGAAUCCUAACCAAUACUCUCCCUCUAUCCCUGCAUGAGUAAAAGAUGAUAUGUUGUAUCGCAUAUAAACUACAUCACCUUCUAACUUCUAUGGAAAGAUAAUGGUUUCAAUAGUACUUACCAAAUAACAAAAGUAAGCACCGAACCAAAGCGCCAAGAGGGAUCCAUUGUCAAGUAAUUAAAAUAUAUAGUAGUCAAAAUUUCCGAUGAAGUGAUGUCUCUUAACACCCCCUUUGCUCAACGUGGGUCUGCCCCUGGUUGUGGUGUCUGGACAAAAGAAUAUUCAAACAAAUCUUUCCAAUUACAUUUUCUUGAUGCAUAUAGAUUGACAGCUUAUACUUUUUACCUUUUUGCAAGGACAAUCACUCCUUUUGUGUACAAACAUUCAUGUAUUUGGCACAUAAGAUCAAACAUAUUUCCUUCGUGUUCAUACUGAAAUUUUUUAAUGUUGGCUAUGCAGGGAGAAAACUAUUUUGAGAUUGAUUUGGACAUUCAUAGAUUCAAUUAUCUCGCAAGAAAAGGAGUGGAAUCAUUUAAAGACAGAUUGAAAAACUGUGUCCUUGACUUCGGUCUGACAAUUCAGGUAGCUAUUAACAUUUCUAAGUUUGGAUUUGAUUACCUCUUGAAGAAUUGUAUCUGAUAUUACUUGGUAAAAUGUGGUGCAGGGAAACAAGGCAGAGGAUUUACCAGAAAAUAUGUUGUGUUGUAUUAGAAUGAAUGAGAUCGAUUACGCCAAGUAUCACCAACUUGGCUUCUAAACCAUGGCAUACUAUAGGGAAUUUUUCUCUUCCCUUCUAUUAAAUUAAAUUUCCAUCUGAAAUGUAUAGCCAUUGGCCAUUUUUGGGUCUCUAUCCUGUAAUGUAAUGCUAACGCAGUAAAUGAAGAAGAAUAUUUCUUCAAUAUUUGGUGUUACAGAUCCCAUGUUGUAGCAUUUUGGAGACAUGUUCUCAACUCUUCAUGAGGAUUUUGCUUACUGGAUCCAACUUUGUCCAUUCGAUUCAUUUCAUUGAAUGAAAAAAGGAAAUUGACAAAUAAUUUUAUCAUUGUGUAUUCGUGAUUCAUGCUUGGUCUCAAAUUCAAUUUAACGCGAUAACAAUUGAAACAUGAAUAUAUGGCUAUGAAUCUUUAAGAGACGGGAGUUUUAGCGCAUCGUCCAAAAAUGGCAAUAAAAGAACACCUCGGUGUCUUACUUUGGGAUGCUUUCUCAUUUGUUUCCAUUCCGACAGAAUUGGUUGCAACAUUUGAUGUUCCAUGAACCGUUGUUGUUGUUGUUGGUGGUGGCGGCUCGCGUCCCGCGGGUCUAUUGUCCCAAAUGUGUCCGGAUGAUCCUUGUCGCCGGAAUGAGUAUGCUGAUCUCUCUAAUGUAGUCAUAAAUUUAUUUAUCAGAAAAAGUUGGGAUGUUUGAUAGAAUAUUUCUAUCUGUUUUUCUGGGUUUAUGUUUUAUAACUUCAUUAGUUCUUCUUAAUCUAAUUUAACGAUUUUUUGUGGGCUAUUCCAUCUUUACACCUGUUUUCCCCUGCUUUAUCUCUGUGCUUGGCACUUGGCAUAUUCUUGCACAUGUUUUUUCCUUCCAUAUUUUGUAGUAUGAAAUAAUUUAGCAGAUCUUGCACAGUUAGAUUGGGGGCACAUGGACAUUCUUUUAUCCUAAGUUGAUUCUUAUCCAUUUUAUCUUUUAUCUAUUUUUGUGUAUUUGCAAUUACUAUGUUUUUUUAUACCAAAAGUGAUAGGUAUUAAGAAUGUUGAUAAUUCUAACUAGCGAGCGAGACCCGUAACAAGUUACGGCUUUAAUUAGUAGCUUAAAACCAAAAUAAAUUGGAAGCUUAGUUUUUUAAUUUUUUUUAUAGUAUACCAAAUUGUUUUUUUAAUUUUGUGGUUUUAAACUCAAAUUUAAAAAUUGAC
rnacentral:lncRNA from 1 species